rnacentral:rRNA from 1 species
AUGAAGGUGCCCCCGAGAUGGUGUGCAGAUAGGAUGGACUAUUGGGAGGCGUUGGUGGAUGAGUGGUGCUCUCCCCAAUGGCUAGCCGUCCACAACAAGGCCAAGGAUAAGCAUGCCCAAAUGCAAGGUGUGCCACGCCAUCAAGGGAGCUCCAACCUGAUUGAGUACGGGGAUAAGUGGGCGCGACACAACAAUAAGGAGGUGCCACCGCUAUUCGACCUCUAUGCCAUGGCCCAUACUGCCCGUACAAGAAGGCCAAGGCAUUCUCUGAGUUUAACCUCGAUCAUCCAGAGAGGUUCACCAACAUCUCCUCCCACAACAAGCUCGUGA